UUAAUUAGCAAAAGGGAUCUCUGGUAGACUUGAAACUACCUAGUUCCAUAAAGACGUCUGACCUUGCUUCUAACUUUCACAACCUCAAAGCUUUUAAUAGCUUAACUAUUAUGUCUACUUUUGUGAAACACAGCCCAUGUACAAAAUCUGGCGAGAAAAACAUGACCCCGUUAUGAUCACUUUCAUCUGACUUGUAUCUUGCUCACUUUAAAUGACUGCCAAUCAUUGAGGAAAAUUGUAGAAUAACUGGAGAGGCUAAAGAUGCUCAGGGAAGUAACUCUGAAGAAUCAAAGAAGAUCCACUAGGUGCUACCUGAACACAUUGGUCAGUUUGUCCACUGGGCCAACUAUAUGAUACAGUUAAUGCAUCUCUAGCAGAACUCUUUUAAUAGAAAAAGGUAGGUUUAAUUUAACACUCAUUUUCCUCACUCUGCCUAUUGAAAAUCAAUUUCCUUUUGCUCAGUAAUUGGUCACCUGGUGCUAACUCAACUUUUUCUUUCUUUCUUUCUUUCUUUCUUUCUUUCUUUCUUUCUUUCUUUCUUUCUUUCUUUCUUAGGUCUAAUUUCUCAGGCAUUUAGCUUUGAAAGGUUUGUGCGCCUGCAGGAAAAACAUUAUGUGAUCUGACCCCCAUGUGCUUCAAAAUCAUUACCAAGACCAGCAUUUUAUUCACAUAGUAAGGGUGAAUAAAAUACUUACACAAUCAUAAGUA
rnacentral:lncRNA from 1 species